AAGGUACUGGUUAUGGAUAAGUAUAUGUAUCUUCUUCAAAGCAUCUGUGGUCAUUUGUGCGUAGGUAUUUUUUUACAUUUUGGGAUAGUUAUUGAAGGGAGCUGGCAUCCUAGAUUCAUCGGUAGAAAUUUUUUUGCGGUAAAUUUUUUUUUUACUGAGAUUACAGUUGUUUUCUACAACAUCUAGGUAUGAAGAUGAAGCUUCCACGCUAUGACAAGGUAAAAGGUUGCAGUUAUCUUCUUGUAGCUGAUGUUUAUAUCUGAGUAGCUGCAUGAUACACCUCACAUGUCCAUGUAGUCUGCCUUUGGUGGAAGAGGUGACCGGGCUGAUCCUUCAGUAUGGCCAGAGGUUGAAGGGCCCACAGAGGUAAAUGUAAUGUUUAGAUGAAAAACAUUUUGAGCUGCGAUAUAUGUGUUUCUCAACUUUUCAUCUGUCUGUCCUAGGUUGUUCUCUUUGAAGGAUGGAUGCUUGGAUUUAAACCUCUUCCAAAUGAAGUUGUGAAAGCAGUGGACCCUCAGGUGAGUUUCUGGGGAUUAUCACAUUAUCUGAUGUUUGUUUUUACUUUAAUAUGACUGGAAUUUUCUCUCUCAUUUUCAGCUUGAGGUGGUUAAUAAGAACCUAUAUGCAUACUAUGAUGCAUGGGACAGAUUCAUCGAGUCAUGGAUUGUCAUAAAAAUUAAGGAACCUAACUGUGUAUUUCAGUGGAGAUUGCAGGUUAUUAUCAGAUUUAUCCGACUAGUGGUCUGACAGUAUGCACAAGACAUCAUGGUUGGAGUUUUCUGAUGAUGCUAUUUUAUUUGCAGGCAGAGGUAGCUAUGAGAGCAGAUGGUAAAGCAGGAAUGUCUGACGAGGAGGUGUGUUUCUCAUAUAAAUAAUUCGUUCAUUACUGUGACCUUGUAUUCCAGUUGGAUCAUUUGUUCUGCUCGCACCUUACUCAUUGUCAAGGAAAGUAGAGUGUCUUAUCUCUCUGGUCCUACAAUCCUACAUUGUCAAUACAAACCUUUCCAUCAAAUAGGAACAUUUCUUUCUGAGUUCUCAGCUGUGAGUUGUGAUCAAUCUGGAUAGUGUACCUCACAAAUCAGGGUAGUUAAAAAUAAAUAAAAGAUCAGGGCCGUUGUGCAAAAUAAAAGGAUGCCUGGAUGCAAAAGUACUUGGUUACUUACCAUUGCCACUUCACCCUAUAAUUUGGCAAUAAGUUAUCUGUUAUCAAAUCAUACAUGAUUAACUUAUGCAAUUUCCUGAGUAAAUAAUUUUAUGUGAUUCAUCAAAGCUCCUCUGAAUCGUGUGGUGUAUCCAUUGGUUAACUCAAAUGUUCCUUGCAGUGCUGAUAACUAUAAAACAUGAAUCUGGCAACUUUUGCAGGUUAUGGAUUUUGUAUCACGCUACCUACCAGCGUAUCAUGCAUAUUUGCCCACGCUAUAUAAAGAAGGACCGAAUGGCGCAAAGAAAGACCACCUGCUGGUCAUUGACAUAGACGAAGAGAGGACCCCUAUCACUGGUAGUUGAGUCCGGAAUGUACAUUCUGAAAUGGAUAUCUUGACUGGGUGGUUGAGCUUGGGAUUUCGUAUCUUUCUGAGACCAGUUAUGCCAAGCAAGCACCACCCUCCUGUUGCUUCUUACAACUUAAAAUAUACCAAGUGUGCAAACUUUAUGUAUAUCAAAUUUUGCUAUCUACUUAAUGAAAUUGGCAACCCAUUGUUCGUCCUCUGUCAACCAAUUUUGUUUGCUAUUUAUGUUAUCGAAUGUACAUUUUGCAAAAUUGCCUGCUUGUGUUCUGCGUGCAUCAUCUGAGGUCUUAGUUUAUGCAUUUUGCAAUAUGAAUGCAGUGAUGAUUUCGACAUUUUACGAUGUUGCUUGAUGAAUGGGGCGAUUCUACUUAUAAGAAUUAGCACGACGUGCUCAUAUUCUUUUAUAUUACAUUACAUACAUAUACAUAUAUAAAAGAGUCAAUUGGUGAAGGUGGUCCGUCACAUAUUCGACUUCUUUCACUAUAAAAAAAACAUAUACUCGCCUCCUUCGCCUACAACAGUGAUAUUGUUUAUUACUCUAACAAAUGCAAAUAAUAUGUGACAACAGUUUUUAACGGUGUAAUUUAUCUAUGGUAAAUAUUAAUUUGUUUUGUUUGUAGCUUUGUAGCAAGGCACAAGUAUUUUAGCUGAUUGAAAAUAUAUUUUUAUUUUUACCACGAUUGGUAUACUCUUUCUUGUUUGUGCCAUCAUAAAAGCACACAUCAUAUAUAAAAGAAGCAAUCGGUGGUGGCGGUCCGUCACUCCUUAUAUUAUAAAAAAACUUCUCAACUUUUUUAAUGUAAACAAUAAAUCUAUUGCAAUAGGCUGGGGUGAUAAUGAUGUUUGCCACCAAAGUUGAAUAAAGUCAUCAACAAAUACCAUUAAUAUGUAAUGAUAUUUUUUAGUCUAAUUUAGCCAUAGCAACUAAUUUGUUUUAUCCGUAGCAACGCACAGGUAUGUCGCUAGUAUAUAUAUACAUAUAUAAAAGAGUCAAUUGGUGACGGUGGUCCGUCACAUAUUCGCCUUCUUUCACUAUAAAAAAAACAUAUACUCGCCUCCUUCGCCUACAACAGUGAUAUUGUUUAUUACUCCUCUAAUAAAUGCAAAUAAUAUGUGACAACAGUUUUUAACGGUGUAAUUUAUCUAUGGUAAAUAUUAAUUUGUUUUGUUUGUAGCUUUGUAGCAAGGCACGAGUAUUUUAGCUGAUUGAAAAUAUAUUUUUAUUUUUACCACGGUUGAUAUACUCUUUCUUGUUUGUGCCAUCAUAAAAGCACAUUUGAGCUACUCCCUCCAAUCCAUAUUAAUUGUCGAAAUAUUACAUGUAUCUAGACGUUUUUUAAGCAUAAAUACAUCCAUAUUUGGACAAAUUUGAGACCGUUAAUAUGGAUCGGAGGGGUAUUAAUUUUCCAACUAUGAAUUAUUUUUCAAUUGACCUCUGCUAUAGCUUGUAAAUUUCAUGGAAAGAGCAUUGUACUCCGUAUAGUGAGUGAAUCCACUGUCAGAUGUUUGAAUUCCAUGCUUUCUGUUUGUAAAUAAGAAAGCGUUCUGAACUACGUAGAGCUUAUUUUGAUGAAGCUCCGGAGAUCAAUACAAUAAGUAUGUUACUAUAUGUACUAGGACAUCAAACUCCGUCGUAGUCUAGGUGGUUAGGAUACUCGGCUCUCACCCGAGAGACCCGGGUUCAAGUCCCGGCGACGGAAUAUUUUUAAGUUGCGCACUCAUUUUUCCUUGUUUUUCAUCACCCGAGCUGCCGUGACCUGCUAACCCAGAAGUUUUGCUGAAAUUUGAGACCAGACCAAUUGGCUGACAUAUGGGGACACCGGUUUUGUUCAAAUGAAUUUCAAAUGUACAGUAACUCCAAAGGAACUGAUUUUCAAGCAAAUUUUGUCAAGUUGCCUUUUGGAGUGGGCUAAAGAUAAACAAUGAACCACAGAGAAUAAACUUUCGUGUACCCCAUCGAUUUUUUUUUUGAGGGAUGUACCCAUCGAUUUUGCAGGAAACAAAACGUACAACACAAUCUUUUUUCCCCUCACGGAUUCACGUGGCAACUACACGAGCAUCCGAUGGUGGGAUAGAUGUCGGGUUCUGAUGGUAAUUUUUCUGAACCAAGUCUUGGCAUUUGAUGCCAUGUUCUGAGACCAAAACCGGGAAAGCUCAAGGUAUGCUAGGCUUAGUUUUGCACCGUUCUUGUUAUGCUGUGGUAGCUUCUCGUUCUAUUGACCCUACUCGAUAUUUUUUUUCUAUCUCCAUGGUUGACUUAUGUGGUCGAGAACAAUCGCUCACAAAGUACACUAGUACUCCCUCCGUCCCAUCUAUAAACUUUAUAAAGUUGAAUCCCAUUAAGUGCAGUUAAUUUAGCAAGCUCAACAUGCAGCCUGUCCACGUCAGCGUCCACGUCAUCCCAACUCACGCGCCCGUUCCGUUCACGUUUGUCCCGAGUCGCACCACCGUCCUUUGCACUCCCCGCGCUAUGGGUCGCUCUCGCAAUAUGGGCCGACUUCGCCAGCGUUAUGGGCAUCAGUUGCCUUUUCUUCUCCCCGAGCGCUUGCCUUUUUUUCUUCCUCUUCAUCUGAACGAUCUGCUCCGCCGCCUGGCCGAUGCUCUCCUGACCACAGAGGCACAAAUGCAAGGACAUUGGGAGCAGGUCUUUAGGGAGUCAACCGACCGCCGUCGCACAAAUGCAAGGACACCGGGAGCAGAUCUAUAGGGAGCAAACCGACCGCCGUCGCACCGCCGGACUUCCUCCACGAGCUUUCGUCAAUCUCCGACUGGCCACACGUGGUGGCUCUUUGUCCAUGCCAGGAAACACCUCCCCCGCGGCCGUCCCGUGGAUAGGUUGCCACCCCGGGCGCCACCACCUGACGAUCUUCUUCCACAAGAUUCCGCCCGCCUCCGCCUGGCCACAAGUGCUCUGCCAAGCCAUGAAACUCCUCUUCCUGUGGCCCGUGGCCAGGUCGCGGACUCAACGUCUCCCACUAAUUGUUGAUCUCCCCGUCUCAGUGAUUUCUCCGGCCUCUAGCCCCCUACGGUAAUCCCAACCCCUAGUUUCAAUCACGCCCUCAAUUCGUUGUACUGUUUGAUGUUAUCCUCCUCAAUUCCCACUGAAAUUUCAGUGCAAAUAAUACGAAGAGGCACGAAUGUGUAAUGAGUAUAUUCCCAGUUAUCCGUCUCAAUUCCCACUGAAAUUUCAGUGCAAAUAAAACGAAUGUGUGACGAGUUGAUUCCCAGUAUAUGUGCAAAUUAGUUGGGCGAAUCAUUUCUGUAGUUUGGACCAUUGAAUAUUGACGAGCUUGAGUUGCCGUGGUAUGAAAUUUGGAACAUGUGAGUGCAUAUAUGUUUUCUUCCUAUUUGAACUGUAAAGCAAUUUCGAAUGCAGUAAGAAAUUUACCACUAAUAAAUCUACUUUCAAACAUGGGUAAGUCGGUGGUGAUAAUUUACUUUCAAACAUGGGUAAGUUGGUGUGGUGAUAUUAUAUUUUGUCAGGGUACUGCGGCUAUUGGAUGUUUGUACCAUCUCCAUUCAGGUUCAUUAUCCAUUGUUUUUUCGUUUUCCCAUUUGUCCCUGCAGAUGCUUUCACGGCUUGAUUCUUUGUACAUGGCUGAUGCAGCUGGAAGUCUUUUUCCUUUGCAGAUGUGUUCUACGGCAACAAACAAAAAAUAGCACGGUAGUAGCAUGAGGUAAUUCUCUGGAAUAUGGGAUAACUGCUACAAGUUUUAGAAGUGGCAAGAAAUCAUAGCACUUCAUUCCAUGAUCCAUCCUACCUUUGAUUUGUGCUUACGAUUGCAUAUUUUCUGCCAACUGUAGCCUGUUGUAUUCAGAUGAUGUUAUCGGCCACCGCCCUUGCGUUGCCCUUCUCCUCUUGCUUCUGCCACCGGUGAGCACGGUCCGUGCCACCCCUCUGUCGUCCUUGGUGGUGAGAACCCUCUGUUGUUGUUUCUAUAUAGAUGUGCUUCAACUUUAUCUCCAUUCCCUCACCGUCUAUAUCUUUCAGUUCUUGACUAGCGUUUUGAUUAUUGUCGAGGGCUCCAAGAUCAUCAAAAUGUUCCAACAAUCCAGCCGCCGGCUUCAUGGGUGAUUUUUUGCAUUCACGAUUUGUUUUAUCCAUAGUCACCAUAAUUCAUGCACCCUCCAGGUCUGAUUUCUUUCCAUGUAAAUUUUCAGGUUCUAACUAUGGUUUGAAGCAGCUUAGACGCAGGCGGUCAGUACCUUCUUACCGUGCAAAUCAAACUGGUGCACUGUCCGAUUGAUGUUACUGCCCCUCAUUUUUCACGUUAUCUCCACUUAUUUGUUCGCGGCAAGCAAAAUAUACAACACUAUUCUGAAUAUUCAGACCCAAGCAACUGAAAACCAUCAUGUUUCAGAGAUAGCCUACUGCUUUCCCAUUAUCUAAUCUUUCCCAUUGAGAAUAGCCGAUGCCGUAUUAAUUUUCACAUGUGAAUUCAUCGUCUCUAUUUAUUUGCUUAUGUAAAUGUUUUCUACUGUAUCCACUCUUCUCUAGGUGUCUCCAGUCAUGGAUGCUUAGACCACAUAUCAAAACAAGCAUAGGAGAGAUGAUUUCCAUCAGGUGAUUGUAAGCGCGGUAAUUGAUACUUAAGUUUUCUUUGUUCAUGUAUAAUCUGGUUUUCUAUGUACUGAAUAUUCCACCAUUUGGUAUAAAGGUUGUUUGUUUAUGCAGGUUCAGUCGCUGGCAUCUAGAGAACUAAUAUCAUGGGUGAGAAUUGGAUGGUAGAUACCAUACAGGAAAAAAAUGUGGUGGCUUAUUACAUAUAUAGAUUUGAUAUUUUAUUACCUUGCUAUUUGUAUGUGCUAACAUGUGUCGGGGUUUGUUAUUAUUAUCCUUAGCAAACAAUUUGGAUCAUGUUAAGAUUGAAAGGAUAGUAUGAAGAGCUGAAAGUCUACAUAAUUCAUGCUAAGGAUAAUAGGAACAAACUAAUAUUUGUAUGUGCUAACCAUGUUUGUUACUAUUUAUCCUUUCAGCUCACACUGAGUUGAAAUGAUAGUAUGAAGAUAAUUAUUUACCAGGUCUACAACAUGGUUUGUUAGCAUAAUUGAGUAGACAUAUUUUAUUGACACUUUUAUAAAAUGUUGACUAACUUCUUUUAAACCACUAAUAUUCCCAAAAAUCAUCGAUCAUAUAAGGUACGUCUUUUGUAAGCUUCCAGUGUUCUUUUUCCCUUGACUACAUGUUUCUUCAGAGCAACUCAUAUUAAGCAAUCAUUCCGCGGCAACGCGCGGGGUAUCAUCUAGUAUUAAGUGACUUUCUAUUACAUAUAUCUAGACGUUUUUUAGGUAUAGAUACAUUCAUAUUUGGGCAAAUUUGAGUCACUUAAUAUGGGGAUGGAGGAAGUACGUUAUUUCCUAUGUUCUCAAAUUCCCAUUUCCAAACUAACCAAGUAGGAAGAUUUCAUGUGAUUCUUGGCUCACAGUUUUGCACCCGAAAUCCUUCUUAAUUCUCGUGUUUCAAACGGAGCCUUAUCUUCUCUCACACGACAACAAUUACACCACUAUAGUUUCUAGCCGCUCCGUCAUGGUACCAAGAAUUUUUUUUUUGGCUGGUCGAGCAAGUGCUCCAUCAUAUCAUAGAUUAUAAGCUGAAAUAGCAAGAGUAGCUCUAAAGCUUUCCUUAAUAGCCUCAUCUCCUCCCUCCCUGCCCCCCCCCCCCCCCCGCCCUCUCUCUCUUUGCCCCUACCAUUGCCAUGUGACAAAUAAAAAACUAUUUAAGAACUCAAUUUUUCAAAUCCAUGAAUAUAUUUCUAAAACUCCUAAGUUGAGGGAAGAUGAUGUAGGCAGUAGGGGGAAGAAAUACUCACCGCAGGCUUCAUGUCAUCAUGUGCGCUGGAGUCCAACUAUAUUGCUGUCAGCACCUCCAACCACCGGCACCAAAAGUCGUUGGUGUCGUCCUUUGCAACGAUGGCUCCCUGCGGAGGGAUUUGCAAUGUGACGAGGCAGGGAGCGUUGACGCAUAUGGCGGCAAAGCAGAGCAGAGCAGAGAGAGAGAGAGAGAGAGAGAGAAGGUGAAAACAUGACGUCCUCUUGAGAUUGGGUCGAGUUGGGCUAACGUGGAUAGGGUGGCAUGGCGCCACCUCAACAAAAUUGGGGUCGAACCCGUUGAAUCCGACCGUGUGUGUGGAUGGGUGGGUGGGUGGGUGGGGAGGUUAUUCUAAAUGGUUUUCAUAGUUUAAGUGAUACUUUAAACAUGGUGGAGUUAUGGGUUAUAACUACCGCGAUGCAAUGUCCAUGCCUCGGCUUGUCGUUGCUCUACUCUAUCCAUAUCGAUCCACUACUAGUAGCACCCGCCACUUGAAGUUCGAAUACUAGAUCUAAUCCAAGAUACAUGAGGAUGAUUGAGGGAGCAUGAAUCAUGAACGAAUGGAAAAGCGGGAUGAGCUAGCUAGAUCUAGCGUCCUUAUUAGAUUUUUUAGAAGGGUUGGAUUGGUUGAAGAACUAGUACCAACGUAUUGCGACCCGAGAGAAUUUUUGGCCAACCGAAGCGUCUCCUGAACAAGCUCCCCGCCUUUAGUCUGGUGUGCAAGCUCCUAGAAAUGAAGCUUCUUGAAAGAGCCCAGUGAAAUGGGGUUUGACAGGACCGCACAAUUCUCUUGGCUCCACACGCUCCAACCAUGGCAUAUGGAUGGAAUCACCAACUUCGACGGUGUUGAUGGACGAUGGGUUGGGAGCUGAUAGAUGACAAGAAAAAGUAUGUGCGUGCAUGAAUGCGGGACUGCAAAUUGCGCAAGAAAUCACACGAAAGUAGUUAACGUGAGAAGAAUCAUAUCGUAAGAAAGAUAUGAUAUCUCUCUUUUUAACCUUCCACGUCAUCAUUUUUCUCGAAGCAUUUUGCCGAAGUGGAGUAGGAGCAGUGGCCAGGUAGUGGGUCAGUGUCACGCCUCUAGCCGUCACGGGUUCACGCACGCGUCGGCGACAGCUAAAGCGCACAAAUUCCCCAACACUCCGUUCACGGUUCACCGUAGAAUUCGAACCCUACGACGCCUCUCGUCUCGUCUCGUCUUCUCCACUGAGCGCUGCGUCCCCUGCUCUCCUCUCCUUUCACCCCUCGUGGGCUUUGCCGAAGCCGUAGCCCCGUAACUCGGCGGCGGCGGCGGCGGCCACGGAAAUGGCGACCCCCCUCGCCGGGCUGCAGGACCACCUCAAGCACGCCCGCGACUACGCGCUCGAGGGCCUCUACGACACCUCCAUCAUCUUCUUCGAAGGCGCCAUCGCCCAGAUCAACAAGUGAGCUCCCUAGUCCCCAGCCCCCCUGCACCCUCCUCGUGGAUUCGCUAUCGAUUAGGAAUCUAUGGAGUAUGGUGAUCCGGUUAGAUUCAUAAUUCGGGAUGGUGGACCCAUGGGGGUCUGUGCAUUUGACCUCACGGUUUCGGAUUUGUCCGGUGAGGAUCCAUUUUAUUGCUCCGGUCCAGUGAGAGUCCUGGCGAUUAGGUUAUUUAGGUUUGAGAAACCAUCGUCUGUAUGCACCGAUCUGCCCUCAUAUGGCUCUAAUUAGGUAAUCCUGCUUGAAUUUAGCCACACACAAAAAACAAGAUAGCUAGGCAUGGUUUGUUUUGAGAUCUAGAAUUGUCGAAAGCGUCAUAGUAACUGAUGUUUAUGAUUUGGGUGCUUCAGAAUAACAAGCGAUGUAUGUAAAUCUGCUGUGGAUUUGAAGUCAUCAGUGAAGGCACCUUUGUUAUUGUAGGAGUGGUAAUGAGCUUUGCAUGGUUAUGAAGUUUGAUGCUUUAUUUGAUCUUUUUAAAUUUCGAAAGAGCAAUGAUGUGUUUUCACUAGAUGCACUCGCAUUAGAAUACAGCCUUUCGCUGAUCAAAUUUGAGUUGCACUGUGCGGCUGUGCCAUAGGAAAAGGGCUUUUCUUCUUGUUCAGUUAAUAAUUAACUACAUAUUUGAAGGCAAAAUGUUUGAUAUGGAAGCUAUUUUAAUACUGAAAGCUUAACAAAUGCAUUUUAGCUAUUGUUCUUCAUGUUAUGAUAAAUACACCUUGAUCAUGAUUCACGCAGGUAUCUAAGUACUUUGGAUGAUGCCCUGAUUCGCACAAAAUGGUUGAACUGUAAGAAAGCUAUCUGUGAAGAGGUAGAAAUUGUGAAGCAGCUUGAUGCCCAAUUGAAGUCUUUUAAAGAAGCUCCUGGGACAACGCGGUCCUCGUCUCCGCCUAUUCGCUCUAAUAAAUCAUUUCUUUUCCAACCAUUGGACGAGUACCCAACAUCAUCGCCACCAACCUUUGAUGACCCUGAUGUUUGGGCGCCUCCAAGAGACUCAUCAAAUCGAAGGUCAACAAGAGGCCAAUCUAGUGCGAGAAAAUCCUCCCAGGAUGGAGCUUGGGCACGUGGUUCAUCAAAGACUGGAACACCUAGCCGUGGUGCAAAACAUAAUGGGAGCAAAGCAAGCUCUGCAGUAAGAUCAGCAACUGCUUCUAGCACUGGUGGGAGGAAAGGAAAAUCAAGUUCAAGCAAGCCUGAUUCAGCAGUAAGUUAUGUCAAGCAGAUAUUCUUUACACUCUGAAAUCUUUAUUUGAGCAAACAUGUUGUGUCGCGGUUUGUUAGUUUCCUCUGUCUGCACCAGUGAUAGGAAAAGUAGCACUGAGUUCUACUCCUAGGUACUGUUUACCAUCUAUCUGCCUAGCACAAAAACAAAAAGGAAGCUUCACAACAUCAUCUAGGAUACACAUGUCGUGUAUGGGUUGCAAAAUGUGUCUACCAUCUGUUAUUUCUAGCAUACCACUAGAGUUGACAAUUUAAAGUAGAGUUGACAAUUCUUGGCUAGGUACUGCUGAAGUCAAUCCACUUAGUCUGACUUAUCUCUCCUUUUAAUUUUUCCGUAGAAGCUAGCCUUCAAUACAUCAACUUUGGUUCUCCAUCUGUCCCUAAAAUUAUUUAGUUUGCCAUGCCAAUAAAAUAUGUAUUUUUAUUGUUGUUGAAGACAACCUUCCCCUUUUAAUUCUACUGGAGGAACACCGCGCCAUCUAUUUCUAGCUCUCUUUCCUGUGCAUUACUCAUAGGCACAAAGUAUGAUGUACUACUCCGCAAGAACAAUGUUAAACCUACCAAGCAUCUCAAAAGCAAUCCUAUACCGCAAGGGGAGAGCAUCUUUUCUUAUUCUCCAAAUUAGCGAACUGACUUCUGCAUGUAUACAAUAUGUAAAAUAUUUUCCCUAUCUCUUUUUGGGUUCAGCAUUUGAUCCUUGUACUUGAUGAUAGCUAACUACGAAUUAUUUCUAUAUAACCUUCAUAUUUCUUGAAAAUCUUGUUUUACCUAUCCUUUCAGAGUAGCGACGCUGAAGAAGGCAAGUCCAAGAAGGUACAGUAUGAAGGGCCAGAUGGGGACUUAGCUGCCAUGCUUGAAAGAGAUGUUCUAGAUUCUACCCCAGGAGUGAGAUGGGAUGAUGUUGCAGGGCUUAGUGAGGCCAAAAGACUCCUCGAGGAAGCGGUUGUGCUUCCUCUCUGGAUGCCUGAAUACUUUCAGGUAAUCAUUUGAACCAUGCCAUUCUAUGGACGUCAAACAUUCCCAUAGUGAAGUAUCUGUUAUUUUAUUACUCCCUCUGUUCCAUAAUUCUUGUUGAAAUAUUACACGUAUCUAGACACUUUUUAGGAAUAGAUACAUCCAUUUUUGGUCAAAUUUGAGACAAGAAUUAUGGAACGGAUGGAGUAAUUAAUUCUUGUUGCUAUCUAACAUCAUAGUGAUUUACAAUGUUUCUGCCUUUAUUUGGUAGCAUGCAAGUCUUCUUGACAUGCAAAUGUAAAUAAUUGUUCUCUAAUGUGAUCAAUUUAGAGUAUGCCAUUUGGAAUUAUCCGCACCAAAAUCAGUAAAUCACCCUAUCCACGAUAUGAGCUUUUAAUUUUCAUGUAGUUCUUUUUUUCUUCUCUCUCGUGUCCUUGUCCAUUCAGUCUGAAGUUGCAUAUAGCCUCACCCAUGCCCUCCUUUUGGGUUCUAUUUUUUUAUCAGGGUAUUCGUCGACCUUGGAAAGGGGUACUUAUGUUUGGCCCACCAGGUACUGGAAAGACCCUUUUAGCCAAGGCAGUAGCUACAGAAUGUGGCACAACAUUCUUCAAUGUUUCUUCUGCAACAUUGGCUUCUAAAUGGCGGGGGGAGAGUGAGCGCAUGGUCCGUUGUUUAUUUGAACUUGCAAGGGCCUACGCUCCAAGCACAAUCUUCAUUGAUGAAAUCGACUCCCUAUGCACAUCUCGUGGGUAUGUGAACAUGCAUUUUUCUGUUCCCACACUAGUUCAUUUUCUAUCAAUGACUGUCAAGACAAUGGCAAUUUGCUCACAAUCUUGUACCAUAAACAUGAAGAAAUCGUUAAGUGUUUUGCCUGCUAAAACUAUAUCUUCCUUUUUAACUAAGCUAUGUUUCCAGAAUAACCACAUUUUGAUGUGCUUUUGUAUCUUCCUUUUUAACUAAGCUCAGCAGGAAAUGAAGUAUGAUACUCUUGGUUCUUUUUAAUAUUUUAUCUUCAUUUAGAAAUUACUGUACCCAGAUUUACCAUCUCAUGUAUUUAUUCAGAGCUUCUGGCGAGCAUGAAUCAUCGAGGAGGGUAAAGUCUGAACUUCUAGUGCAAAUAGAUGGUGUUAACAAUAGCUCUACCAAUGAAGAUGGCCAACCAAAAAUAGUUAUGGUUCUGGCAGCUACCAACUUUCCAUGGGAUAUUGAUGAAGCGCUGAGGUUGACAAACUCUUUCCGUUCAUAUUCUCUUUUAUUAAUUUAGAGGUAGUACUUGUAGAUCAUGAGUUUUGGUAUGAUAUCUGGAUUUGUACAAGAUGGCUGAUUGCUUCAGUGGUGCUGCUAGUUGAGUUAGAUGCCACCGGAGGCGAAAUGUAGUACAUAUGUUUCCUUCAAAUAGUGCAAAUACUCCUUUUGCUUAGUUCAUGCUACAUCUGUCACUUUGCCGCUUUUGGUAUAAGAUCAAAGCUUUGAACACUUUUGGCUUACUGUCACUGGUAUAAGACCCAUAGGCCAUAUUUCCUGGAAGAAAUAUUUAUAUCUGUUCUAACCCAAUUCCAUGUAAGCUGCGAAACUUAGGCGAAAGUCUAGCGUAGUAUUAUGUUUGGAACUAGCUGUUCCAUAUAGACAUUAUGCUUCACAUCAUCCAUGAACAUUCAAAUCCAUCAUCACGUUUUUGGGGUAGUGUCAUGUAUGAGCCACUACCUAGAUUAAUCUGGCUUCAUGGCGGUGGGUGAGUCAUGCCAGAUCUCCUUGGCAGGUUGUGUGUCAACCUUGACAUGGCGGGGCAUGCAUUCUGGCGGCGUGCAUAGUUUUGUGGGCAUUGGUGCCUCCUUGGGAGUACAUCCGGAGUGGUUGUUUUGGUAGUGUGUCAUUUUUGUAGCAUUUGUAGCUUUGCUGUCUUGUGGGGUCCAUAGUAGUAUUUGCUAGUCGAGGCUUCUUGUACUUGGUUUUCAGUCCGGUCUUCCCUCUAUAAACUGGUCACGUUAUUCUACUUAAUUGAAUAAAUUGGGCCACACUUUUCCAUUUAAACUUGGCCACAUUAUUCCAACAUUUUGGAAAAGAAAUAUUUUUUCUGCAGUGCGAAAUAAGGCUUUUAUCAUUUAAUUUUACCUGUCUUAUUUCUUUUAUUUCUUUGUCAACCAAUAUGCUAGCUACGUGCUGCUACUAUAAGUAUAUAUUAUUUUUUCACUAAUAUGCUGCCACAUAUGGCUGUUUAACUCUUUCGAAUCUUAAUUGGCUCAGGCGGAGGCUGGAAAAGCGUAUUUACAUUCCACUUCCAAGUUUCGAAAGCAGAAAGUCACUCAUCAACAUUAAUCUUAGAACUGUUGAGGUAUGAUGUACUAACACAAUUCUUACUCAUCUUGUCUAGUAUUGGCAUUUUAUCCUUGUGAAUUUUUUUUACUGUCCCAUUCAACUGUUCACUAAUCAAUAAUAUUGCAUCAUCUACAAUGAUGAUAAAUUGUUGUUUCGUAUCUCAUGUUGCUUAUUAUGGUUGCCCCCUUUAUAUCAACAGGUUGCUACUGAUGUUGACAUUGAUGAAGUUGCACGGAGAACAGAGGGUUAUAGUGGGGAUGACCUUACAAAUGUUUGCCGUGAUGCUUCGAUGAAUGGCAUGAGGCGAAAAAUCGCAGGCAAGACUCGUGAUGAGAUCAAGAACAUGUCAAAGGAUGAUAUCUCAAAGGACCCAGUUGCCAUGUGCGACUUUGAGGAAGCUUUGGUCAAGGUCCAGAAGAGUGUCUCGCCCUCUGAUAUCGAACGGCAUGAGAAGUGGAUGGCUGAGUUUGGAUCUGCUUAAACCCUUGGUUCAUAUCCAAAGCUGCUAGAUUUGUCCACCCAUGCUUGUCAAUCUGUUUUCCUGGUAUUUGUUUCGUUUCCACUGCCAAUGCAAUGUUUCAACGCCAUAUUUGUGUUUAACUAAGUUCCCUGAGCUUACUCGUGAUCUUUUUUGCUGAUUUAGUUUCAGUGCUACUGGCAAUAAAAUUCUUGGUGUUAAUUCUCAGCUUCGAAUGGCCAUGACAAUCAAUGAAUUUCCAUCUGUCUCUGCAACUGUUUUUUAGAUGGCAUAAAAGUGAACUUGUUUUGGUGAUACUCCCGCGAUGCUUUUAUGUCCUUUUGAAACCGCCCGGGUUCUAAAAUUAAUUUCCAUAAAAGUGAACUUAUCUUGGUCUUUUAAGACCAACCAUAUAUUCACCUAUUUUACAGGAUAAGCCAUCCACAAAAGUCUUUAAACAAUGAUUAUCGAGUUUUUCUAGAAUGAAAACCGGAUGAUCAUUGGUUAAAGAUGAUUGUCUAGUUACCAAGAACGUGACAAGAACGAAAGUCACUUACAUCAGAUGAUGGGGGCUCCUUUUGAUUUAAAGAAAUUCAUAGGAUUUUUUAAGGAUUUAGAGAUCCUUACGAAAUUUCUUUUUUUAGUCGUUUGAUUCACAGAAAUAGAACAUCAAUUUUUCCUAUUGGAUUACUUUGUACUCUACUGUUUUGGAGAAAAAUUUCUACGCACUCCAAAACUUUUGCUUUUCCUAUGGUGUCACACACUCUUUGAUGCUAAUUUCUAUGGUUUUUUAAUCCUUUAGAAUUCAAGAGUACAUGCCACUCCCAUGUUUCCUCUAUUUCUUCUGUGUUCUAGAAAUACUCCACGAAUCAAACGGGCCUUAAUUCGGAAACACAAACUGGUUAAUCAAUUCUGUCAUGAUGCGAUGACGAUCGUCGCCAGCAUGGUACUUCUGUUCCUGGUACACCUCAGCCGGCGCCUCCCGCUUGCCAACCACCUUGUCGCCGCCCAGCUUAACACGCAGUCUCUUGCUGCCGGCCACCGUCGUAGUCCCGCUAGCGCCGGCGAUGCGUUCUUGGUGGAGGCCAAUGUUGAUGAACCGUGGAGCCUCCCUGUGGCGGCACGGGACGUUGACAUAGUCCUGCAUGGAGAACACCGUCUCGGCACAAUUAACCUGAUAAAUAGGCACAAUUAACCAAAUAAGUUGGCACGCUUAACCGGAUAAGUAACCACAAGUAACCUGAUAAGUUGGCACAACUAACCUGAGCAGGGGGACCGGCGGCCAGACCACGGCGGUGGAGCAGGUGGCACGGAUGUGGAGAGCGGGGACGAGACGGUGGCAGCGGAGCAGGGGAACGCGCCGGCGAGACCGCAACGAGACAGAGCAGCAACACAUUGGUCGGAGCAGCUACGCGUCGGCAACACCGUUGCGGCGAAGAACUGCGACGCGGCCUCCAGUCAACGACAGUGGAGCAGGGGCGCCCCGAGCAAAGUGGACGCGGCGUGCAAGGCCGACUUCCACACGGGAGUCGAGGAGGAGCACAAGAAGGGUCAGUGGAUCGUCGUUAAGCCAUGAAAGUCGGCCAUGGAGUCCAGGACUGGUCGGGGAAGGAGAUCAAGACAACGAGUGCAUUCGCUUUGCAUCGGGGAAGACAAUCGUUUGGUCUUGUAGCUGUGAGGGGUUCACGGUGGUGCACACUAGAAGGGUAAAGAGAUGACGUCCCCAUGGACGGUGGAAUGUGGAGCUGGUCCUGGCCUGGAGGAGAUUGCCCUCGGCCUCGAUGGCGACGCUGAAGUGGAACAUAUCUCCGGACACGAAGACAAAGCCGUCUUCCUCUUCAUCUUGUUUCCAGCCGCCGGCUUCUUUUUGGCCUCCUAUGGCGGUGGCUCAUGAAAAAAUGUAAUCAAGCUUGCGACGACCUUACCCGGUAAACGAGUGACUAUAACCUGAAAAACAAGCUAUAUUAAUCUGGUAAACAAGUUACAUAAUCUGAUAAACUAGUUAUUAUAACCUGGUAAACAAGCUAUAUUAAUCUGAUAAAGAAGUGAUAUUAAUCUGGUAAACGAGUGACUAUAACCUGGUAAACGUGUGAUAUUUAACCUGGUAAACGAGUGACACCAAUUUAGUAAACAAGUGACAUUGAGCUGGUAACAAGUGACUAUAACAUGGUAGAUGAGUGAUUAUAACCUGAUAGUAAACAUGUCCAAGAUGCCAUCAGAUCAUAAAAGUACAACCAAGUAACCUAACGCGGACGCCGCACGCUAGCGUAGGGCUGCGCACGUCGCGUAAAAAAAAAAGAAGCACGAGCUGGGCGGACCGUGCGGGACGUGUGAUCGCCCCACAAGUAGGUUGUUGUGCGCAGGUCGUCCGUAGCACUUCUUAAUGUGCUGCAAAAGGUAUAUCUAAUUUAGAAGAAGAAAAAACCUAAAGCUAGCUUCUUUUUUUGAGUGGAACCUAAAAGCUAGCUUCUUCUUCUUUUUUUGACUGGAGGAAAGCUACGAAUGGCUCGAGUUGGAGCGUGCGAUCAGUUGCCGAGAACGUGCUGCUGGGCCAGCGUGGUGCGCAUGGAGAGUUGUGGCGAUGGGCCAACAUGCUGUGGGCCGGCCUGGCUGCAUCGUGUGCUCAGCGGGCGGACGCUAGCAGGUAAACCGUGGGGCGCCGCACGGUAAGAUCGGUGGGCACGGUCGCCCCGUAGUCCUAUCUUUAGAAAUACCCCCACGAAUCAAACAGGCCUUAAUUCGGAAACACAAACUGGUUAAUCAAUUCUGUCAUGAUGCGAUGACGAUCGUCACCAGCAUGGUACUUCUGUUCCUGGUACACCUCAGCCGGCGCCUCCCGCUUGCCAACCACCUUGCCCCCACCCAGCUUAACACGGAGCCUCUUGCCGCCGGCCGACGACGUCGUUGUCCCGCCAGCACCGGCGAUGCGUUCUUCGUGGAGGCCAAUGUUGAUGAAGCACGGAGCCUCCCUGUGGCGGCGCGGGACGUCGACGUAGUCCUGCAUGGAGAACACCUCCUCGGUGCUGCACAGCUCCGUGUCGUAGGCGUAAAAACCUCGUGGUUGCUCGUGGCGAGCAGGAUCUUCUUCUUCUCCUCGCCCCCGGCGCUGCAGAGCGGGACGACCUGCAGCCGCUUCCCGCUGAGCUCGUCGCGCACGGGCCGGGGCAGGCCGCAGGUCGAUCCGGCAGCGCAUGGCCCACCACGCCGACGACGGGCUCCACGUCAGCAGGGCGAGCACGUUGCGGUCGCGGACGACGGCGCACAGGGCGCCGUCGAGGCCCGUGAGGUGGCUGAUUCGCCGCGACAGCCCCGGCGGCGUGUGCACCCACGCGAACCGCUCGGCGCCGACGUGGAGCGAUAGGAUGGGCGCGUCGUUGUCCCCCCUGGAGCUACCGUCGUCGCCCGUGAGGCUCUGUGGAUGCAGCAGCCAGUAGAGACGCCCGUGGAGCGCCACCGGAGGCGUGCCGAUGCCGUCCACGUGGCUCGUGACGCCCGGCGGCGGGUCGCUGGCGCAGGGCCGCCACCCGCGGCCGCCCGAUCCUGCUGGGAGCCGGAGGUCGUGCACCUGGCACUUCUGCUGCCCCGAUGCGUUGCAGAAGAGCCUGAACACCUUGUGCUUGCCCGUCGCCGGGUCGAAGCCGAGGCCGGCGCUGGAGACUUCGGGAGGAAAGCACGGCCGCGGAACACGUGUGGUGAACGGCGUCCUUAUUUCUGCCGCCGGUUCGCACGCGGGGAGGACCGCGUGGUCGCCGGUGGAGAGGUUGCAGACGUAGUACUCCGACGCGCGGACCUCCCAGAAGAGCGUCAGGCCGCCGCACGUCUUCCGGGACAGAAGGACCACGUGCUCCCCGGUCAGGUUGCCCACGGUGAGAAGCUCGCGUGCGGCGGCCGGCGGCGCACCCGCGAGCGAGCACGAGUACAGGGACGUGGCUGCAGGGCUCAAGGACGGCGGGAAGAAGAGGAUCUCUGGUUGGCGCGCGGCGGCGGCUCUGGCGCUGUGCGCGGCGAUGAAGUGGUCGGAGGUCAGGGCCGCGUUCCACGCACGGCAGACGGCGCGGGCGCGCACCGCGGCUGCGGCCGGGAGGCGCGUGAGGAUCUCGUCGAACAGCAGCUCGCCGUGCAGCGACGUUUCGCGGCCGUUCGGCGACCUGAUCAUCUUGGAACCUGGCGGCGAGGUUGCCAUGGCGGAAAUCGUACGUUUGCACGGACUUGGAUUGAUUGAUGCGAUGACCAAAUUUCCCGAUCGGUGCACAGCACGUACAUAUAUAUAACGUGCGUUGAAAGGCUGCGUGCGACUCGUAUAAGUAUUUGAUUCGGAAUCGUUCGAUACUCCUGUUAUAUUUGAUCGUAAUCUUACACGUUUCGGGUUCGUGUGCCGAAUCUAGACGUUCCUAGCCACGAGCAGGUACAUGAGUUUAUGGGUCCUCACGCAUCCCUAGAUUGAGAAUUUAACUAAUCUAACGUGAGUUUUACCAUUAGAAACUUCAAAUGUUAUAUAUUUUCUAAUGGUAUAAUUUUUAUAUAAUGUAAAAAUCAUGUUAUAUUAGUUAGAUUUUUAAAAAGAUGCGUUGCGGUCCCAUAUACCAGAACGGAGGUAGCAGUAAAUAAGAACAUCUUUAGCAGGACCCUAAAACAGGGUUCCUACUCACUUUUUAGGGGCUGAAGCAAAAAAAAAAGCUCUUCAGCAAGGUCACUACUAUAGUCUCUAAAGUAGAGAGGUCCGUCGAUAUCCCUCCCCAGCCCUCAUUCCUAGGGAUCUGGAGGGGAGGCCCUACUCGAUUCCACGUCAUCUCUUUCUCCUCAACGCCCACUUAUUCCUCCCCCUGCUAGCUUAAUCUUGAUCUUUGUAUCAGCAUGUUUCGUUAGCUGUAGUAGUCUGGUACGAGUCCAUCAUCUUGGGGCAUGCAGGGUGAGAUGUCGAGACGUCGUGCGAGGCGACGUGCGUGAUGAGAUGCCGACUGUGGCGCGAGGCUACAGUGCUGCGUGGAAGAGAUGAACUGGAAGGUAUUGCUGCGUGGUUGUUGGCUGAUGGAGUCAAUCCCCUAGCUGACGGGCUGCAUGCAGGCUUAACUGCCUAAUUAGCCGGCCGGUCAAUUAGUUGGUCAAAGUCCUGCCGUUGCCUCGAUGGAGAGAUUCCAGGAAGUGAGGAGAGGUGGGACGUGCGUUUGGUUAGGGGCAUGAGACCCGGUAGAUUAGUUUGUUUCCUAAUCGUGUGCAUGUUUAUUUAAGGCAUUGUAAUCAGCUUUGUUUGAUAACAGAGAGAGAUCGAGAGGGCUGAAGUCUGCGGCUAGUUGCAACUCGAGGGAGAAGAAGGAGGAGCAGCGCCGAGCUGCUCCAACAUUAUCAGAGCCUCGUGGUUGAUCUCUUAGUAACGGGAGGUCAAGGCCCAUGGUUGAAAAAAAACUAACAUCUCCAGAUGACGGGGGAGCCCGUUCAGCCCGAUGUGUGACGGGGGAGAAUGUUGGGUUUAGUCCCACAUCAAAAAUUAACCGUGGGGGAGCACAACAUAUAAGGUGGAGCAAAUCUCACCUAUUGGAUCGGUCUUUUGGGUUGAGUUAGGCUCCAGGCCUUAUAUGUUGUGGGCUCCUGUGGACCUGAGCCGGUAAGGCAUCAGGUCAUGUAUGAGUAGUUGGGCCGAGCCGCUGUGCGCUCUAACACCCCCGACGCCCUCUUCUUCCUUCGGUCGGCUCCUCCUCCCACUGCUCCCCCUUGCCUCCCUCGUCGGCAUAUGAAAUCAAACCGCCAUCGCCCUCUGGCGCCGCCCCGCGCCACCGCCUCUAGGACAGCCCUGCACCGAUCCGCACCGCGGCGCCGCCUCUCUCACCUCCCGCCGUCGCUACCACGUGCUUCGCACCCGGCAGCCACGAGAUCCAGAGGUGGGAGCCGCCGCCACACGCCGGCUCUGUCUGGCCUAGACGCAAGCUCCGUGACGCUGCCUCUGUCUGGCCUGGCCGCGAGCUCUGCCUUGCGUCGGCAUGUCGCUACAGCGGGGAAUUUUAGGGAGAAGGAGGAAGAAAAAGAAAAAAAGAAAAGAAAAGGCGUGUCACUGACAUAUAGGACCCACAUGUCAUAAACAAAAUAGGGACUGGGGAAUAGAGUGUAAGAUGUUUGUAAAUUUUGGGACCCUAAAAUUUGAGGAGAGUCCCUAGAUGCAGUUUAGAGACCCUGUUUUAGGGGCUACUGCUGAAGAUGCUCAUAAGCCACUCGUGGUUGCGGUGUCCGAGAAAAACAUAAAAGUAGAAAAAGAAAAACAAGGAAUUUCGGUGUUAAGUUUGCUUGAUUUUUUUAUUCGAAAAGGACAAAGAUCCAUUGUAAAGAUUACAAAGUAAUUUAAACAUAAUACAAUUAUACUGAGAUUUCCAAACCACAGGACGACCACUAUCGAUGACGCGUCUAUGUUGCCGCUCCAUUACCGGAGCCGGCCUGAUUUUAGUGAUAACAUCUAGGAAGUUCACUUGCGCGUGCCCCUAGGAACCAACGCCCCGAAGCCGCAGUUGUUGUUGUUGAAGCUUGAAUUGAUCUGAAGAACCUUGCAGCAGAUCUCGUGUGCACUCAGUCGAUUCUAAGACGACAAGAAUCUACGUCGGCACUCCUCAAUUCCAUCCUACAAACUUGAGGGGAAUCGGAUCCCGAAAGACCAUCUCGAUGACGAAGCGCCGCUUCCACGAGGACCACACCAUCUUCCACACGCCUUUUGAUGGCACGAACCACCACCGGAAUGAGGGCGCGAGGUGGGUGGGGGGGGGGGGGAGGACCUUAUUCGAUGAUGCCAUCUUCUCGCGCCGCGAUCCUUGAGGUGACAACGGAAGUCGAACCCUAUAUGCUUUUUCUAGGGGAGAGGAAGUGCACUUGCAUGUCCACUCGAAUCUUCAUGAUUUAUAGUUGGUCGAAGUUUAUUUGAUUGAACAUGGCAGUACUUUGGGUUUUCCCUACGUACUGCCAUGUUCUUAGAACAUUGCCUCAAUUGUGGUGUGUUUUCUUUUUGUAAUUUACUCUUUUUAAUAUACAGGCCGGUGGUUAUUGAUUGGAUUUUUAAUCUUAUACGGACGGUAAUCGAUUAGUAUCGGCUUAACAUCCUUUCAAAAGAAAGUAUGUGCCUGUGAACUGAGCCUGGCUCAGGUGAUGUGGUUCCCUGUGGUGGAACCAACCCACCCAGGUUCAAGUCCUAGACUUGACAUGGGUGCUCACAUUUAUCUGGAUUUAUUCCAGGGUUUAACCGGCGCUAUUCUUUCAGUGGUAGGUGGCGUACCCAUCAAUAGCCAGGCCCCUGCGGUGACGUCGUCAAUCUCUCAAAAACUGUCGGCUCAGUCUCUUGGGAGGUGCUCAUAGGGGUAGGGUGUGCGUGUGUGAAUUCAUAUGAGUGAGUGUAUGCACGUGUGUGAGCGUCUGUGUUUGUAUUGUGUUUCUCAAAAAUAAAUAAAAAGUGUGUGCCUAACACGACACUCCCUCUGUUCCUAACUAAUUUGCGCCGGAAAUUUCGCCAAAAACAUUCCUUCUAUUUUCCGAAAUCGACCUGCAGUCCACGUUCUACAAGAACUUUUGCAAAAAAAAGACCUGUAGUUUUUUGAAAUCAACGCACAGUCCACGUUCAAUUGAAGAUGUGUACUGCAGGUUGAUUUUGUAAAUUACUAGAGUUUUUUUUAAAUGGCCGGCGACAAUUAAUUGGGACGUGUUAUGAAAUAUUAAUGUGGAUGUCCAUAAUCCCUAUACCAUCAAAGUUACAACCUCCUACUUUAAUGGUGUUACUCUCCUAAUAUCAAUGCUUGUAACUCCAUCUCUCAUAUAUGGCUAUAUAUAUGAGAGCUUAUGUAUUGGAAAGUAAACAAGAAUUUCCAAUUUCAUCUCUCACUCUCUCCAUUCUAUAUAUUCCCUUACAUUACAACUAGUUAUUUAUAACACGUUAUCAGCACGACUGUCUCUAAAAGCUAUCAAGAACUAGGUAAGAAACUUUACGUUGAUCGUAAUGUUAUUUUUGUGGUAAGACAUGAUCUUUUGUAUUUGUUUCUUUAUUUUGUUCUUGCGCGAAUGUUUGAAUUUUGCAAUCUAAAUUUUUUGUAGUUUACUUUGUCGAAUCUUGCCGAGCUUGAUUUCAUAGCUCUGGAUAUUUCGGGCUAGAAUUACUUGUCAUGGGUGCUAGAUGCUGAAACUCACCUGAAUGCCAAUGGGUUUGGUGAUGUGAUCAAAGAAAAAAAUAAGGCAUCUACCCAAGAUAAAGCUAAGGCUUUGAUUUCAUUCGCCGCCACCUCCACAAAGGUCUGAAGAAUACCUUACUGAUAAAGAUCCAAUUGUUCUUUGGAAUAAGUUGAAAGAAAGGUAUGAUCACCAGAAAACGGUGAUUCUCCCCUCACUCCCCGCGCCGUCGACCUCGCCUCCUCCUGCUCCGCCUCCCCUUCCCCAAGCGCUGCCUCGCCUGCUGCCUCCUGGCCGCCUGCCGUCGCCCAAGCCCCUUCUGGCCCAUCUCCUCCAGCCCGUUGGCCCAGCCGAAGCCCAAGCCCUAUGCAGCCGAGGUCCUCCUGCAGCUGCUGCUCUCUCUCUCUCUCUUGGUCGUUGCUGCCGCUGCUUCUCUCUUUCUUGCUGCUGCUGCUGCGCUCUCUCUCUCUCUGCUGCUGCUGCUAUUGCUCUCUCUUCCUCCCUCUUUGGCACUGUUGUUGCUGUUGUGUUACUGCCGUGUGCCGAGGAGACCGAAGACCCGGAGCCGGACGAGUAGCCGCGCACGACUACGUACGAGGAGCCAUGAACGCCUACGUGUACGACUACCUCGACCGUACGACUACUUCUAUGACGUCGACUAGAUCGACCAUGCCGUGGCACGCCACAAAGGUAGAACCGUGGAGCGACCGUUUCGUAGACCUGUAGGUUGCGAAUAUAUGAAAUGCAUGUGUUGUAUGAGAUGUCGUGUAUGUACCGCUAUUAUCGAUAGAUGCAGGUACCUUGUUGCCAUUGGUGUGUGCAACCCCGACCUAGUCGGAUCUUUGUGCUAUUCUUGUUAAAGCAUGUGUUGCACCUAUCCAUGUCAUUCUCAUGCAUGAUAAUACAAGUAUAAUGUUGAGUGUAGUUAAUCCAUUAAAUUCUAUUCCUUGCAUAUGGAGUUGUAUAGAUGUUAUGUGUAAUAUUUUCGGACUCCAUUUAACUUGGUAAAUUAUAUAUUCGAUUUACUUUCGGAAUCCUUAAUAUGACAUGCAUCAUCCCUAUAUGCCACGCAUCAUUCUUUGAUUGCGCAUAUCAAUUAACUUGUGUAUCUUGUAUGUUUAUACUUUCCUUUUAUGUGGUGUAUUUGCUUCUUCAUCACUACUCUUCAAUUCCUACGACGACGACUACGCUUGUGUUCUUCUUCCAGGAUUCUUGCUCAAUUCCGGGCAAUUGAGUACUCCAGGCAAGCAGCCAUUCCUUGACCAUGUUGGUUAUACCUAUUGCCUCUCUCUUAAUCUUGAAUUAAGUUACGAUCUCAGUCUUAUCUUGAUGCCUCUAGGAUUGCAUAGCUUUAGUCAGCUCUGCUCAAUUGUCCUAUGUCUUGUUACUUGUCCUAAUACCAUGUCACAUGUUUGUUUAUUGCCCCACUUGGCCAUUAGAAGUAUUGCUUAGAUUGCUAGUCUAGUGUCCUUAUUUGGGGUUAUACAAUUGCUACAUCCACAUGCUACUUGAUGAUUUAAUUGCAAUUCUUAAAACUGUGAUAUGAUAUUAAACUGUAACAAGGCAACGAUGGGAGGCCGUGCUCUAAGGCAUUGGUGAUUUGUUCCAUUUGCGCCGACCUAAGGACCGAGUUCUCGAUUUCGCCGAUCCAAGAAACUUCGCGCUAACUGCUCGUGGGAGAAGAUAUGGCUUCCCCCUCGACUUAGUACUUGAUCCUCAGCUCUUCCAAGGGCCACAUAGUUCGGGCGUUCCAUUUGGCAUUUGCAUUGCAUGCACACAGAGAUUUGUGGAGACUUAUUGGUGACUUUGCAUUCAUAUAGGAUUGCGGCACUAGUUUGGAGUGGUCAUCCUGCGGGCUCUGAACCGCUACCCGCUGUCCUCGCAACUCUUGAGUCCGUACAACGCUUCGGUCGGGCUCUCGUUUUGGAUAGACUCGGUUGGGUGGUCCCCUGGAUUAGUUGUGGAACUUGGAAACAUCGUGUCGCUCAAUCCAGCCAGCGCACAUUUGGGUGUGAGCACGUCGUGUAUUCGUGGGUUAGUCGAACGUGUACGGGUAAAUUGGUGCACCCUGCAAGGAUAAAUCUUUCGGAAAGCCGUGUCUGCGGUUAUGGACGACUUCGUUGGUCAUUACUUGAUCAUAGAAAACUUAACCACUUUAAUCUCAAAAGCUUGAGUAGUAAUUAGCCUUAAUCAUGGAUAUGCUUAAAAUUGCUUAAGUGUGAGUGCCUUUGGAUCAUUUCCUCACAAGGGGUUGAGGGGGUGAUAAGAGGUUGUGUUUGGUUGGUGUUAGUUAUUAGAAGAUCACCUCACUUAGUAGACGCUUCUCAUCCUCUACUUAGACGAUGUCAUUAGUGUGUCUCUCCAGAUAUAUUGCUGUUGCAUAACCCCACCAUAUUUAUCCAUCCUUUGAGACUUGUUGCAUAUUUAGUUUAGUUCUCCCCGUAAGUCUUGCGAGUACUUUGUACUCAGUUGCUUUGCAAUGUUGUUUUCUUCAGAGGUUACAGCAGAGCGAGUGAGCCGCUAGCUUCUUCGUGGAGCACGACGUUGGAUUCGAUGUUUAGCCAGGAGAUCCAGAUCAGGAUUCUGAGACUCGUGGCGGGUUUCCUUCCAGCUUCCAGCCUCUUUAGGCCAUGCUAUAUUCUUGUCCGUACUCGAGCGUAAUUCGACUUCCGCUGAUGUAAUGAUGUAAUGUUGGGACAUGUGUCCUGUCUUUGUAAUAUUUGUUAUUCUGCUCCUUGUAUGAGCUUUGUAAUUACUCUCUUCUGUAGAGCUUUUUGGUAAUGAUAUUCAUGUGGUAAAACCCUACGAUGAGCACAUUAAUGCAUGUAUGUAUUGAAGUGUUUAUUGUAGGUUAAGAACCUAAGGCUUGAAUUAUGCAAAGGUUAGCAAUUUGGGGCUAAAUUGCAUAAUUCCGGUCCCGGGGUCUUACAAGAGCCGUCAAAGAUGACAGCCCCAAGGACACCACAAGCCGACCUGGCUACCAAACGCACUACACACAAACUAUCGAGCCAGAAGACCAUCGUCGACGGAGUUCGAAGGUGUCAUCGUCAUCACACAUCACUCCUCGAGCUGGCGACUCCGACUUCACCGCAAAUACCGCCAACAAGCCCUCACCGCGACAAUCGUCUGUAGCCCAAGUCGGCCUAUGCCAAACAGUCAGCCCACACGUCGAGGACAAGGCAGCUCCGAUUUUGAGGACAAGCUCAGACAGGAAGAAAGGCAGGUCUUGCGCUGUAGAUUGCCGAACAUUGAACCACCUUCCACGAGGCACCUUCGCCACCAAACCGCAGGAGGCACCCAGCGCGUCCACCACACAUCGCCAUCGUCAUCUGCAACAGCACCCCCGACCGGCGACUCCGACUUCACUCAAGCAGACACAGAAGGGAACUCUGCAAGGCUAGAGCUCUGACACCAUCGCUUCCACAUAGAUCGCUGUAAGGACAAACACAGAAGACCACAGACGGUCGACACCGAAGACCACGCCAAGACCCUUCAUCCCACAUCACCAUUGUCGUCGCUGCACAAAUCACAACACAACCACCAGCCUCCAUCCACCGGACCCUCCAGCCGGUGUCAACUCCAAAGACGAUGCCAUCAAUAUGGGGAACAACGCCGAGCGCUGCCAUCAUCAGGUCCAGAAAACCUGAACCAGAGGUUUCCCCCGAAGCCCACAGCGGGGAUGGUUGGGGAGGCCCACCAGGCCCAGAACGGGCCCGCAGCACCGAGGACGCCGCCUCGCGCCAACACCUCGGAUCCCACCGGAUCCGGCACCAUCAACCACGGAUCCGGCGCCUCCAUCACCGGAUCCGGCCCUGUGAGCCACGGAUCCAGCGCCGCCAUCGAAGCAACGACGCCCCGGCGGCCGCCAUGCGCGCCGCCGUGCCCCGGGCACCUCCCCGCGCGCCUCCACGCGGGCCGUCGCGCCCCAACGGCCACCAGCGCGCCUCCAGGCGCGCCGCCGCGCUCCAGCGGCCUCCCGCGCGCCCCCCGCGCCUCGGGCGCGCAAGAAGGCGGAAAUCCGCCUCGUCGCCACCUUCCCAGGACGUGCCCGACUUCGCCGGCCCGUCCUCCGGCGGCGGCGAUGUGGGGGAGGUACGGCCGGCGGCUAGGGUUUCCUCCGGGUCGCCAGAGGAGGGCGUCGCGGGGGGGGGGGGGGGUCCCCCUACACUUAUUCAUAUGAGUAACUAAGGCGAACUACAAGAGGAUGCAUGGAGUGGAUGAAAAUGAAAUAUAGUGCAAAUGAAUUCAUAGGAAAGAAAAAUCAUGUAGAAUUCAAUCCCACAAAUCAAACGAGAUACAUGCGAAAAAUUACUAAGGAUUCUACCUCUCUGAAAUACCUGCACCCUCCGAUUUAUAUUAAUUGUCUCAAAAUUUCCCAAAUAUGUAUGUACGUAUAUAUGCCUAAAAAGCGUCUAAAUACAUGUAAUAUUUCGAAAACUAAUAUGGAUCGGAGAGAGUAUUAAGGUUUUUGAAACAAAGGGGACUUAUUGCCUAUAAAGAGUUGGUAAUUGUUUUUACCACGGUUUAUCAAAAUUGUAGCGAUACAUAAUUUUGCUGUAGUACAAGUUAAUAAAAACAUCGGCAUACUGAAUGUUAUAGGCUCAAGUUGUAGUCAUCUAUCUAAAAAAAAACCCUUUUUUAGAGGAGACCUAAGAGCUGAAACUUUGAGACCAGCCAAAAUUUAAACAUUGGGCCUUAGCCCACUAAAGAGUUUUCCUCAAGAGGAAAAAAAACUCAUAAUGGCCCAACGUCUAAGAAAAAGAAGCUCCAGAACUGUGUAACUCAAGGUACCCCUGCCGUUGCCGAGCCCAAUAACGUCACAAGAUACGUGUUCAAAGCCUGUAAACCUGCCGCGCGCGCGAAGCCUCCCAUUCCCGGACCAAAAUCACUAGUCCACUCCUGCAGUCCUGCGCCCGCCGGUAAACAUGCUUGCCCUGCUCCGGAAAGGCGCAAGCGCAGGCAAGGCACUGACUGCAUUUAUCCCCUCUGUUCCCUUCCUCCCCCCACGGCAGGCAGGGGCACACAGCGAGACCGAGUACACGGCGGAGAGCAAAAGGAACUAAAGAGAGCGUGCACAGUGUGCGGACUGCAUGCGGAAACGGGAGAGAUAAGACCCGUCAGGCUGCGCCUCAGGCCUCAAUGCGCACCACCCCCCCGUCAGAGAGUUGAAACGGAACAGUAUCGGUGGGAGGAGCUGACCGGCUACCGGCUAACCCAGAACACGAUACGCGAGGGCUGGCUGCUGCCGCUGCCUGUGCUACUGCUACACGGCACGCCACUACUGUUCGGGAGAUGCGUGGCUUGGCGCCUUGGCGGGCACAGGAGCAUGGACCGCAUGGCUCGUAGGCAGUAAAGGACGCGCGAGCUCCAUGGAUGCCCUGAAAGGCUGAAGUGAAGUGACGCCGACCCAUCCUGAUUGUACGUAGCGUACGUGCGGCGUGCCUCUAGCGGCCUCAUAUGGUGUGCGUGUCCGGCCGAUCGAUGCCGGCCGUCGGGGAAACCGGGCCUGGCGCGGCGUGGCAGCAGCACGUACAUACGUACUGGCGUGCGCCAUAAAUAAAAGCCGGCGCCGUGCAUGCACGUACGCAGCGGCAUCUCGGUAUCUCCUGUCAUGUCCGGCCGCGCGCGUCCGUCUGUCCUGCCAGUGCAUAUUUACUUGCCACUAGCUAGCUAAAGCUAAAGCUAGCAGCCCUCCCCAGCCGGCCUCGAUCUCUAGCUAGCUUAGCGUCCGGUACUAGCUGGCAUAUAGCUGGCCGUGCUGCUUCUGCUAUCCUCAUUUUCUUUUAAUUUGUUCCGCUGCGCUGUGCGGGUUUCCUAUGAACAGCGACGCACGCUUUUGCGAACGUUACGGCUUGUCAAGGGCGCCGUCCCGCGGGUCCAGUCGAGCAUGCAUGGAUCGGUGGCGCGCGCGGCGAGGCCAUUUUCUGCGUGCUCUUGAGAUGUGUGUUGAAUAUGUGUACGAGUAUUAGCGGAGGGUUAGGUGUUGAAGUCGGACACGUGUAACCCAGGCCUAAUUUAUAAAGGGACCGUGGGGUAGCUCAAAAAGGUCAUGACAAUAUAAUAGCAAUAGGCUCGCAGGAGGAGCCGGCAGCUUGUGCCGGCGCCCAAGGUGGCUGGUGUUGCGGUAUAAUGGGGGGAGGAGCGCCCGUAGUCAUGUCCCGGGAUGUAAAGCUUCGGUCGAACCUCGUAAACAAAUAUCGUGCCUCGAUGUCAUCCUUGAUCGUGCAUCCGCCGGAUUUCGUAACAAGUGGUAUUAGAGUGAGGUGGAGAGGAUGCGGAAGAUCUUGUGGGAGGUGCGAGGAUCAUGCUCGGCGGGUGCUGCGGAACAUCCAAUGCGGUGCAAGGUGGAGCAUGGCGAUGAUCGGAUUUCUGAUCGGUGGAGUCGGACACUUCAGUUCAAUGGGCUGCAGUUGGCAAGGAUCGAUCAGGCGUGGUGAUCGGGCCGACACAGUGGCCGGGAAGACGUCGAAGAUCAGACGACGGCUUCGGCUCGCGAUCAGACCGACGACCAGACGCAGGGGCGACCAGAUAGAUCGGAGCGGGAUGCAUCGCGGUAUAGCGGUGGAUCGGUGUAGCACAGGACGACAUUGUGGCACGGUGGACGAGUUGUGUCGACGAUGCAGUUGGCCAGGGUGCAACACAGUUUUGUGCGUAAAUUUGCAAGAGGACGCGAUUGUUACAUAGUGUUGUCAUCGGCAGCAGGUGACAGACACCGGAGUUAACUCGUCGGACAAAGUUGCGGCAGAUGGAUUGAAAGAUUGAGUCAGAAGUCCUAGAAGCGUGUCCGUGUGAGACGAAGAACGAAACAGCGGUGCGCAGCGCGGCGCAGAACAUGCGAAAAAUUGCACGACGAAGAAGCAGUGGCAGAGUACUUUUUGGUUUCCUCGUACGACGAAAGGGGAAAAGGAAGAGAAUUGGCUAGCAGUCGGAUUAGGAAAAGGGCUGCUGCAGGCCAUCACGUGUAGCUGACGGAUUCCAAUUAGGAAAACGAUUAGGAUGCUACCUGAUGUGUUCAGCUUGGCGAGGAAACUUUCCAGCUGGCUGGACUUCGGCUCGGAUUCCAAAGGGGCAGGUAUGGUGCUAGUAGCUUUUAAUCAGGUGUAUGCGCGUGUUGGAGCAAGGGUGCUCAACUGGCCGGCAGACGGGAAGGCUUACGCAUGGUGCAGCAGGGGCAGAGCAAAGGCCAGUCGCGUAUCGCGACCGACGGGUUUGCAACGCCGGGCAAAGGCCGAGUAGGUUUUGGGUGCGGUGCGGAGGGCAGGCCGAGUAGAACACCAAGAGGAGAACAGGGACUCGGAGAGGUAAUCCAUGAGACGAUAAAAAGCGUCGGGCAAAGCAAGGUACAGAUAGCGGCGGGCCAGAGACAGAGGUCAAGUUCAUCUGUUGCACAGAUCAUAUUUUUUCAAGCGCGGUGCUUCGCAGGAAGAAAAAAAAAAGAGAUUACGUAUGGAGGUGAAGAGAUCUCAAGAGUUUCCAUGAAAAGAAGGCUAGUGAUGGUUUGUUGGGAGCUUUGACAUGAAGUUGGAUGCAUGCAGCGUUGCUUUAGGUGACGAGAGACGGUGCGCGUAUAAGGCUAAGAGUAGCCUAGAGCGUGUCGUGAGGAUCGUGUAUCUACAAGGCGUCGAGCAAUACACUUGGUAUUGGGAUGGCACGACGCAAGGUGGAGCACGGUUGCAGUCGGACAAGUUCGGCUGGGGUCAGACAACAGUCUGACAGAUCUACGGGGAUGUCGGUCGGAACAUAAGACGAUGAAGAUCGGUGACAACGACCUAGGAGCGUGAGGGUUGAUGGUGUCCGAAUUCUGUGACGUGGCAACACGUGGCGCAGUGGGGCUUGAGAUGGUGUGGGUAUGCUACCCAGUGUAUCUUGGCCAAGAUUGCGGAUGCUCGACGCGGUGAUAGCGGCGAGGUGUGCGAUAAGCACGGAACACGGCAACAGAUCAGGGCAUAUGCGGUCAGACAAUGGUUUGACAUGUGCAGGGGUGGUGAAGCAGUGUUGGCGAGUACCAGGUUCAAUUUGGUGAUUGGAUCUAUCGGGAUGGCCUCAUGGUCUGAAGUGAUGGACAAGAGUCGGCCAUGGAGAAUCUGAGAAAGUGUUUUCUGAAAAGCUUGUAUUGUCAAAGGCUUAGAGAGCACAUGGCCGUAUAUUCUGUGAUGUUCGAUGCACAUGCAAAGUGCAGGCGAUGGGAUGCAGAAGGAGGCGGAGUGCUAUAGCCGUGGGACAUGUAAAAGACUAUCCGAAAGGGAUGAGACAACUAUGAAAUUGACUCAAGGGCAACGACGACAUUCCUUCAAGUUUCAUGAGGACAGUCAACAAUAGCGAGGACGAUGAGUUCAGGUAACUCUUAUAUGUGGCAGCUAACAUGUGAGUUGUUCAAUUUUCACAUAGAUCAAGGAAGAGGGAACCAGGAUCACGAUACAUCGGUGUUGUCAAAUAUGGUGACUUUAUGAUCGGUGUGUGAUGGCGUUGAGCGGAUACUCCGAUAAGUUAGGAGCACAAGGCGGGAGUGUGGAGGAACUUAUUUUUCGCGGGAGCAUUGCCCGUUAAUGAAUAAGAGGAGGGAUUACGGUUGCAGGUGGAGUCAUGUGAUGUCAAGGAAGUGGUAGUAGAGCUCAUGAUUGAUGUUUCAAGCCCAAGGUACACUGAGGUUCGUGCAUGACAGCUUCAAAGUGGCGAGGGUCAUGUUCGUCAAGGUGAAGUUUGUUGAGAUGUGUGUCGAAUAUGUGUACGAGUAGGGUUACAAUUGGACUUGGAAUUAGCGGAGGGUUAGGUGUUGAAGUUGGACACGUGUAACCUGGGCCUAAUUUAUAAAGGGACUGCGGGUAGCCCAAAGAGAUCAUGACAACAUAAUAACAAUAGGUUUGCAGGGGGAGCCGGCGGCUUGUGCCAGCGCUUAAGGUGGCCGGUGUUGCGGUAUUACGGGAGGAGGAGCGCCCGUAGUCAUGCCUGAAAUGUAGGCUUGGGCCGAACCUCGUAAACAAAUUUCGUGCCUCAGGAUCAUCCUUGAUCGUGGUCCCGCGGAUUUCCGUGUCACCUACCGACGUCAAAGAGGGAAUCAAAGUUAGUGCGAUAGCCUGAUAGGGCAUCACACAAGAACAUGGUACCAUGCUACAGAAUAUAUAUGGUGAUAGGACGGAUCAGAGCCUCUUCAGGACAUGGUGAUCGAUGUGAAAGCUGUACGUGCAAUGUGUACGUAUCCCCGAUCCUAUUCCCCUUGUACGUAUGUACAUCGAUCCAAAUACUGUUGCUAUUUAUUGGCCACCUGAGUACUAGCUUUAGCUGCUGCAGCUAGCCCACGGCCCGCGCUCUGCGCCUAUGCCACUUGUCUUGGCAUUUUUCUGCACGGAUGACGGAAGAUCCUGCGUCCACCUUUCAACUUUCAUUAACUCACUAGUCGCGCGGUCGCCGAAUUCCGCGGUACGCGCACGAUGCGACUAGCCAUUCUAUAGCCCUGGCUUGCAUCAGGCCGGCCUGUAUGCAGCGCACGCGGCCGGCCGGGACGCAUGCAGUUGCAGGCACGAUGGGUUUUCUUAGGAUUUGCUCUUGCAGCGCUACUGCUGCGCUGCCUGCUCCUACCAUCUGGUCUCUACUCUCUAGCUUGAUACUUCUUCGCUUUGACCUAAGCCAACUAUAGCUAUGUAGCCCAUGUACCCUGCCCUUCGUUGCCAGCUAGUUUGCGAAUUGUCUCUGGCUACGAUCGAUCACCGGCCGGAAUGCAUGGCAGCGUGCUGCAGCGAGAUCGAUUGUGCCGGCUGUCUGUAGAGGUUGAUCGGGUGGAGCUUAACUAAUUACCCAUUUAAUGUCGGCCCGGGCCGUUAGGAUGGGGUGCUUGGUUUGCUGCCGAAAUAUAUCAAACCAAUUUUUUUGAUCGUUGUCCAAAAUUUAGUAUUUUUUGGAUUGUGAUCAACCAUUUCACAAGUCACUGUCCCAAGCCAAUUUUAGUUCAAUUUUUCGGAUAAAGUUGACCAACUCAUGGGUUAACAAAAUCAUAACCAAUUAUUUGACUAGUCAUAUUUUUGGCAGGGCAACUCUUGGCUCAAACCAAAUAUACCGAUGUCUCUUCUGGUUCAAUCACCAAGGAAACACUGAAAGCGUAGUAAAGGGAAGCCAACCAAACAAAAGUCCUCAUGUUAUUUGCUCGUGUUUUUUUUUCACUACGCCCUUCUGGCCUCCAAGUCUUGCAAUGUUCGACAUUUUAUUAAAUUGAUGUUCAAGAUGUCAAGGCCGAAUUUGUUGAAAAGGGCCACAAGUGGAUAACAUUGGGGGAAUUGUGUUGUGUGAUAUCUGUGAUUUGGAGUUUGGAAGCAAGAGUGGCAUGUUAUCCCCACCGAUGGAUCGGAGAGAACCGCCACCGCCAUCCAUUGUGAGGCCCUUUUAGGUGCAGUAUCCUUCGGCAACGGUGGAGGGGAUUGGAAGUUAGGGUAGCAUGCAACUAGGGUUGGACUGAGGAGAUGUGUUGUGUAGUCUAGCUAGUUUUUUCUCAUGGCAUGACAUCCUUAGGGUUUCCUGUCUUUCUGGAAAAAAUGUUUAAUUCCUACAUUAUGAUAUUGUAAAAGGAAUCUUUUAGUGCACAAACCACUCAAAUUUGUCUAGAUUCAUGCCACAAACGUUGGAUCUUCAUUAAAUUAGAUUUCCAAACAUUCUUUCUCCUCUGCCUCACUUAAUUAUAAGCCUCGCCUUGCUUGCGUCUUCCAGCCAUUUUCAUUGUCUCCGUUGUGGUUGUCGCCAGCACCACCACCUUGCUGACCCGCUCGGCAUGCUUUCUCUCAACACCCUCCAUUUGUGCCUCUCAUUUAUAACAUUUCUAUGUGUUUUCCCAAAUCAAGCUCGCCUAAAUGCCAUUUGAGGUUUCAUCGUGGUCGCUAGACAUCAAGCCACCCUCCUCCCCAACGCACACGAUACUACCGAUCAUUCGGUUCCGACAAGCACCUCCAACCAUAACUUGCUACACCCUUAACCAUUUUGCGUAGAUUCCUUACCUUUGCUCUGCCACCCUUGCAGCUCAUGCAUCAUCAGGUUCUACAACUUGUGACCUUAACCGUCCUGGCCAGAUUGUGAGGGUGCCAAAGACCUCGCCUCCAUUGGUCGCCGCUCCAUGUCAUUGCCACCUCCAUCUUGUCUUUUCGGCAGUUGGAGCAGGAUGCUUGGAUUCUAUAUGUAAAUGUUUGGUUUUGGCUAAGGUUUUGGUCGGCAAUGUUGGUACAUCACCUACCACUGAAAGAAAACGUCGGUUAAAUACUAAAAUAAAUCCAAGCAAGUGUGAGCGUUCAUGCCAAAUCUAGGACUUAAAUCUGUCUGGGUUGGUUCCACCACGAGAAACCCGAAAUAUUGGCAACCAUCCAACCAGUAGGCAGAAAAAGUAUCAUGAUAAAAAAAAAAGUUGGCAUUAUAGUUUUGACCAUGAUCCAAAAAAAUUUUAGGUUACCGUGGGCUAGCAAUUCUGUAAGUGCCUAUAAGUGCAGUUUUGCGCCUCUGCUAAAAUUUGCGCAUUGGUAUACACGUACUCUGCUUUUGUACCUGCUAGUCUGUACGUAGAUUCAACGAUUAAUACUUAGUCAGGACUGGUUGCUUCUUUGGAAAAAAAAACUUACUGCAGAGUUCUGUAACACGCUCGUUAUAUUAUCAUCCUACAACCGCAUCCGUUCCUUUUGCUCCGCACGUACGUAUGCUAUGUAAUUCCUUUCAGCUGUGCGCUCAAGUCACAAUAUGGCUUUUGCUUUUCUUUCACCUUCGAUGUACAACUUUUUCACAGCAUCUGUCGGGUGGAAUUCAUCCAACCAGACAUGGCUUGACGCGUCGCUGCACGCCAUCUGUGGAAGAAGAACACAUAUGAAUAGGCCACCAUACUUGCCCAGCCCACAGCAUCAGUGGUAGUCAGAAAGCCUGCAUGUUGCAAUUCCAUCAAAAUGUGAAGCCCUUUUCAAGGAUAGCACACAAUUUAAAUACAGCACUGAUGAUGCAUUUGCUCACCGUAGCGGUCACGGUUAUCUAGAAUGUCCAUUGAACCCUCGAAUGUAUCACAGUAACUGAUCAUGGAAUCUGGGUACUGGCGGAUGAACUCGCUGGACAUGUAUCUCAGGCCAUAGUUGAACUCAAUCACAACGUUGUUGAUGUAGUCGAUGCAUUCCCCAUUUUGGCUGCCAUAGUCCGGAAGGAAGUGAGGUGCACAGCCAACAGGAGGAAGGCCCACCACACAAUCAGACACCUAUACAAGGGACACGAAGCCGGCUUCAUCAAGAAGUCUACUUCAAGGGCUUAAGAAAAAAGCCUUCCAAAUAAAAUCAGGGAUAUCAGACCGCCUAUAAUAUGAGAAUUUCGCCUUAUGCAUUAGGGGUAAGUCAGACCUUAUGACCUUUUCUUGCAGUUUGACCUUAUCAUGGGGCAGAACACCUCGGUUCUUCCAUUCAUCAUUAUAGAUAGCCUCUAUGUCCGUAGAAAUUGCAAUUCUUGAUAAAACGACUUGUUGAUUCAAAGGCAAUUCGGAAUAGAACUUUCGAGGUAUGAAAAGUGCAUUACGAAAACGGAAACUAGCAAUGUUCUUAACAGACAUAGUGAUUAUUUAUUCCCUAUUCUUCGGGCGGGCCUUCAAUCUAAUUUGAGCUUCUCCUUCUUGGGGGUCGACUUGUAGUAGCAGGCGUACAGGACCAGGCCGAACAGCGCACCGAGGCCAUUGGGGAUCUGCAGUGCACGAAGGAAGACAAGAGCCGGCACGGUUAGAGAGACACUCUCAAGUUAUAUAAGAUUUGGUUGGAACCUGAAGAUGGAGAUAUUACUGACCGUGACGCAUAGGUCGAAUUUGAUGAGAGCGUAGGACGUCCAGCAGACGCCGUUGAGGAAGCUCACCAGCGACAGGAAGAAGGGCAUGUACUCGACGCUCUUGGUCUUGAUCACUUUACCAUGCACGACAACUUAACCUAUGAAACCCUCAUCCACACGGCACCAACAACAUCACCGCCGCCACCAACCGAACUAACAGGGGAACGCACGCCUAUUCCCCAACAAUAUCACUAAUACCAAUAUAGAUCUAAUAAGACAUCUAUGCACGUGGAUUAUCUCGCCUGAUGGAUCGAUGGGAUGCGUACCAUGAUGGUGAGCGGGGAGGCGUACAUUGCCGAGCCGAAUAGGACGCAGAGGAUGCUGUAGAACACCCAGAGCAUGCAGUUGAGCAGCGUCGCUAGGUACGGGUCCGACUUGAACUCCUCCACGUCCUUGUUCUUGAUGAUCCGCCAGAACGUCGGCCUGCACAUGUACAAGCAAAAAGCAAGCGCCCCGUCAUAAGAAUCAAACCCUAAUUACCAACCACCUUCCAUAGAGAGUAGACUAGACAAGCGGACGAAGUCGGGUUCUUCCGAUUGCACCUGCAGUGGGCCCGGGUACUGUUGCACUGCGUGGCUACUAACAGAACAGAACAAUUGCUAUCGAUUAAUGGUUCCUACCGGUAACCAUUUCUGUCUUGUCUAGUCAAUCUGGCAGGAACAGAUGACAACACUGAUAGCAUUCCUUAUUAAGGGAAGUCCUCCCGAAGGUCGGAUACUUUAUUUGGCAUACUCAUUCUAUAGCAGUGUAGUUUUGUUAAGGAACUCGAUCUUCCUUACUUUAGAAUUCAAUACCUCAGAAACUCAAAUCCACUAUUUGGUUUACACUUUCGGAGGAACCCAAUUCCAUGAUUAUUACUAUUUCCUAAAAAGUGACAUGAAUAUGAAUUCCAUCAAAAAUCAGGAUCUCGAUUGAGCAUCAAAAUCCGGAUCUCGCUUUUGCGUAGAGUGGUGACUCAGAGAUCACCUGCGGGGACGCUAGUAUUACCAUUUUGAGGAAACCUCUGCUCGGUCAUGUGAAGAUAGAUUGGUCUUCAAUACGAGGUACGUUUCAUGAAUUAGCCACAGCCCACAGAUAUUCUAAGAAUACAUGUGCUCGUGCUACCUAACCGACAAUGCACGGAGAAGAGAUGAUCUUCUCUAUCUGUAAUUCGCACUAACAAUACACCCGCGGAACACGGGGAUGGGCGGACACUACGGAUCUAGCAAGCGCUUAAUUUGGAGCUAAGAAGUCGGAAUCAUAUGGGUGCCCGGAAUGGACCGGGGUAACGACCCCGUACAAAAAGGCGGACGAGCAAACGAUUAAACCAGUAACGACCCGUAUAGAUCGGGCAGGAGGUGCUUCUUUGAACCCUGAAUCCAAAGCAGAUUCACCAAACCAAUCCGCGUUCACAGCGACAACCGAUCUGGAAUCUGUUAGCUUAUCUGAUACUUAUGAUGUUCGCGCAGCUACUUGGUCAGCUAAUCACUGGCAAGGAAGUGCCAUUCCGAACCUAUCCCUAGCUGAUUUCCAGAGCUCGUGCAGCGUCUUAUAAUAGCGAGCGCACCUUGGGUAGUUGAACUAACGACUUCAUAUCAUCAGGGACAUAACUAGCAGAUUGGCGAGUUACAAUCUGAAAUCCUAAUGCCAGGCGGAUUGUAACUUUAGCUUCCUCACAAAGAGGGGGAAGCCGGAUCUCAGUACUCAAGUGGAUGCCACGCACAAUGGUGAUCGAUAAGUAAUUCAGGGAUGACAAUAAGUCAGGCUAGUGUGAGAAGGUAUGACCAUCUCACGCCCUUACGAGGGUAGAACAACUGGUGUAUUCCCAUUGUCGGAAGAAACAAGAGGAUGUUAAGAUCCCUUUAUAAAAAGAUUUGGAUAUGCCCGCCACCAGGGGCGUCAUCUAGCAGAAAGAAAGGGGAUGGAAGGAGAAGAGGGGGCAGACGCUAUGUCUAGAGCACAAAGGGUAGAGGAAUGUGAAUACUAGAGUCCACUAUCUUUAAGUAAACAUGUCCACUAAGUCAAAAUGUUUGCGAGGAGGUAAGAUAAAAAUGCAGGCAACCAAGGGGGGCGGGUCACUAGUAGUAGGUGAAUGGAAGGCUCCUCUAAAAGCGCUAGUGGAAUCAGCCAACCUUAGAGUGCCAUUCAGUUACUAUUCUUCUGAUAACGACCGGAGGCGUUAUCUCGGCCGGGUUCGGUCUUAAAUGAUCGACCUUUACUGCUGUUCCAUAGGGCGGUGGCCAAUAUAAUUGGUAAACUCUGGAGUAAAACUACGACUAAGACAGCUAGCAGUGACCGGAUGCUGGACCCAACAUAUAUUGAUGAAGCCGUGCCGUCGUGUUGCGCGUUCACCGAGCGUAGAUCCGCAGGACAAGCGUUGGACGGGAGAGCGCGAAGUACGCGAUACACACGUGCAUGCUGCUCGUCGUACCUCCCUAGCUAGAGUUCGGUGGAAUUAGCGGUGUCGAACCAGUGUGUCAAUCCCGUGAUAUUUCGAUCUCCGAGUUACUUUCUUUUUCUCAUGUUUCCCCGUCAAAUCAAGACGAAAAAAAAUCGAUUCUAGCUCCCAAUUAAGUGCAUGCUAGUAAAUUAAGGGACUGAAAUACCACGGCAUUGCUGGAUCAGGAUCAAGAUGUGGAACUUAAGUUGAAAAGGGCACCGGUUAACAAGAUUGGAUAUUUGUUACCUGACACGUUUUUCCUUUUUUACAAAGGAGGAAAGGUUCUCCCCUCGGAAUCUCGGAUACAUGACACAUGACUAGUUCAUUUACAGUGUAGGCGUUGCAGCCGAGUCAGCCGACUAUAUACAGCUCACUGCUCGAUGAAGAAAUGGACAAGGCACUAACAACAAAAGCGUUGUGCGUGGAUUGUAGUAUAACACAUGCCCAAGUCCAUGCUCUAGCCGGCAGCAACGGCUUUGAAAUGUCUUUGAUCAUCAUCGACGCCAAUCCAAACAGCUAAUCGAUCGGCUUCUGAAGAUGGAAAUUAAGUUCAGAGUUGUAGCAAACAAAGGUACAUCUUCUGUUGAUAUGCUUCAGAGUUUAGAUGCUUUACCUGCUUUUUUUUUGCGGGAAAUGCUUGACCUGCUUUAACUUUGAGUAAUUGUGUACUUGAUCAUCAAUUCAUCAUGUUUAUCUGCACCAAGCCAAACAACAUCUCCUGAAAAUCAAGUAUUCCUCUGAUCCUAAAUUCUUGUCUCAAGUUUGCCCAAAUAUGAAUGUAUUUAUUCUUAAAAAACGUCUAGAUACAUGUAAUAUUUCGACAACAGUUUAUGAUCGGAGAGUACAUUGCAACACUUCCGUUGGUCGGCUUCUGAAGAUUGGAAGUUCAGAGUUGGUCAAACAAAUGUACAUCUUCUGAAAAAACACUUCCGUGCUCCUUAAUUUGCUGCAUAAUUGUAAGUUCUGGAAUAUGCUUCGUGGAGCUCAAGGUUCUUCUCCGCUAGGAUUUAUUUUUGAAUUCCUUUUGGUUUUACAACCUGAAAAUGAACUUUUCAUGUGUACAUAUGUUUUGUUCUGUUUUCAUGUGCUUAUAUUAACAUGUUGUGUUUUUACUCGUAUUUUGUUUUUCUGUAGCGGCGCACGGGUUUCUAACUAGUUUCGGUAACGUAGGAGUACUUUACUUCAUGAUGUACUAAUAUAUAAGAGUGUAUAGCCCCUUAAUUAUGUACCUCCUGACAAACAACAAUGAUGUUAUACAUUCUCUCAAAGCCUUUCAUGCCAUAUAUCACCUCUUCUUCGAUCCCCAAUGGCUGUCAAGACCACGUUCUCUCUCACACUCACAUGGUAGUUGCUUGCUAGUACCAGUACCAAUACAUUUUAGCUCAUGAAAAUUUGCAGAUGCAUUUUUAGCUCAAAAUUUGCAGAUGCUUGGUCUAUUUCUAAUACUGUAUCUACAUAGGAUUUUUUGGAAAUUUUAAAAAUUUCUGGACCCACUCUUGGCUGACUAGCUAGCUUGUUUCCAUGGCCUAAAAGGGGAGUGAGGGUAGCAGCAGCGGGGGGCAGUAGCAGCACAGUGAGCGCUGCCACGCCAAUUAAAAGCAAAGGUAUAAAGGGAGCACAGUGGUUUGCAUGCAUUAGACCCCUGCACAGCCGCUGAAUAUUCCCCUGCCUCGGCCCCGCAAGCAUUAAACAACAGCCAGAGUUUGAAUGGUGGUGGAGGACAUGCAUCUGAGCGCCACUGCGCUGUGCAACCAGCCAGCCACACCCGCAUUUCUGUUGCCACUGUAGGAGUAACAAAGACCAACAACACACGGCCCAGAAUGCAUGCACAAGCAAGAGGGCAUACUAGGCACUGGCCGAUGCAUGCAGCACCAAGUCCAAGUGUGACCAAUCAGACCAGGCCCGGCCACUGCAUGCAUAUGGUGAGAGAGCCGAGGCAGCACAUGUAAAAUUGUAAGAAAUGCAUGCACCCACUUGCAGCCAGCAGAGAUGUCAUAGAUCGAUGCAAUCCCCUCAUCUCAUGCAUCUUGUUUGUUUGGUCCUCAGGCCGUGGUGGUGGUGGUACCACCACACAUAAAUCCUCCUCUCCUAUCUUCUUCCUGCUGUGCUGGCUUACGAGAAGAAUGUCUCUAAUAAUGCUAGUAAUUGAUGGGUAUGCAAACAGAAGCUUUAACCACGCCUGUGCAGUGUGCACACCUGAGCCUACAUUUGGAUUUGGGAUGUGUGUAUAUUGGGCGUGCUUGUGGGGGAAGAGAAUUUGGCAGAUACGAAAGAGUAAUAUGAAAGAAGAGCCUGCCGUUAGGAGCAAGUUCAGUUACCUGAACGAUGUGCAUUGCAAAACUUUGGGUACUGUAUUUUUCAGUCCAAACACUGGUUGCAGACUUGCAGUGGACACAACGGCGCACAAAAGGUGGUCUAUUUGUUAUACAUAAUGAUGAAAAGAUGGUCUAGUUAGUGACUGGAUUAAAACAGAGAGACAAUGCAUUUUUGACGGGGAAAACAGAGAGACAAUGUAAAACAGAGUACGCUUUUAUAUAUAUUCCCAUCGAGUAGCAGGGAAAGCAAUAUAAUACCGAGGAUAGAGACAGGCAGACAACAUGGAAGCAUAAACAGAAACAGUACAUGCAUUACAAAGUGUAACCGAUGCAUUCCAGGCUCAAGACUUUCUCCAACCCCUGAUACUGUUUUGCUGAACAAGACCUUGCUUUAAGGUGCCUAACAUCACAUAACAAGUGAUCCACGCCAAGAAUGCGUCACUUACAGCUCCCAAUACACACAAAAAAAGAGAGGAAGAAGAAACAGAAACGCAAUAAGAAAGGAUAAUGUAGGAGAUAUGAUUAACUAAGAUACCUAGAGAGAGAGAGAUAUGUAUAUAUCUCGGACCAUUACGCCUCAAUUCCCCACUGCACGCUCGCGCCGUAGGCCUCAUCCAUUGCUCCACGGUUGGUAGAGCAGAGGAGACCGUGGUGGGAGCUCCAUGCGAGCCGCUAGCUCGCCGACUUCCUCCUAUCUGCGAGGUGUGUUUCCGGUGGACUCCUCAGCUCUUGGGUCUCCAAAUGCUGGCCAGGUAGCAGCAGCCAGUGCUGUAGAAGCACCAAUGAGCUCCAUUGUUGGGGUAUGAGGAAGAACAAGAAGAUGGGCCAUUUGUUUUUGAGAGGAGAUUGCAAGCUUAGUUGAGGGUGGCAAGAAGACAGUAGAGAAAAGGGUGCUGCUGUUUAUAUAUACUCACACCGCCACACGGAGAGAGAGAGAGUGAGAGAAAGAGAGAGAGAGUGAGUGAGUGAGAGUUCAUUGUAGUAUUGUACCAUGGCACAGUACAUGCUAUGCCCAUUAUGGUUUUGUCUUGGUCCAUAUGCAAUGUCACAG
rnacentral:lncRNA from 1 species